UAUUGCACACUAAUGUACCCU
rnacentral:miRNA from 1 species